UACAGAGACUGCAAGCGUUAUUCGGAUUCACUGGGCGUAAAGGGUGCGCAGGCGGCCAAGUGUGUUAGGCGAUGAAAGCCUGAGGCUUAACCUCAGAAUUGCACCUAAAACUACAUGGCUAGAGCAUUGGAGAGGGUAGCGGGAAUUCACGGUGUAGCAGUGAAAUGCGUAGAUAUCGUGAGGAACACCGAUGGCGAAGGCAAUCCCCUGGACCUGUACUGGACGCUACAUG
rnacentral:rRNA from 1 species